AAUCAACGCUGGCGGCGUGCCUAACACAUGCAAGUCGAACGAGAAAGUGGAGCAAUCCAUGAGUAAAGUGGCGCACGGGUGAGUAACACGUGACUAACCUACCCUUGAGUGGGGGAUAACCUAGGGAAACCUGGGCUAAUACCGCAUAAUACCUACGGGUCAAAGGAGCAAUUCGCUUUAGGAGGGGGUCGCGGCAGAUUAGUUAGUUGGCGGGGUAAGUGGCCCACCAAGACGAUGAUCGUAUCCGGCCUGAGAGGGCGCACGGACACACUGGAACUGAAACACGGUCCAGACUCCUACGGGAGGCAGCAGUGGGGAAUUUUGCGCAAGUGGGGGAACCCGUGACGCAGCAACGCCGCGUGGAGGAUGAA
rnacentral:rRNA from 1 species